GACGAACGCUGGCGGCGUGCUUAACACAUGCAAGUCGAACGGAAAGGCCCUGCUUUUGUGGGGUGCUCGAGUGGCGAACGGGUGAGUAACACGUGAGUAACCUGCCCUUGACUUUGGGAUAACUUCAGGAAACUGGGGCUAAUACCGGAUAGGAGCUCCUGCUGCAUGGUGGGGGUUGGAAAGUUUCGGCGGUUGGGGAUGGACUCGCGGCUUAUCAGCUUGUUGGUGGGGUAGUGGCUUACCAAGGCUUUGACGGGUAGCCGGCCUGAGAGGGUGACCGGCCACCUUGGGACUGAGGUACGGCCCAGACUCCUACGGGAGGCAGCAGGGGGGAAUAUUGCACAAUGGGCGGAAGCCUGAUGCAGCAACGCCGCGUGCGGGAUGACGGCCUUCGGGUUGUAAACCGCUUUCGCCUGUGACGAAGCGUGAGUGACGGUAAUGGGUAAAGAAGCACCGGCUAACUACGUG
rnacentral:rRNA from 1 species